UCCAGCUCCAAUAGCGUAUAUUAAAAGUUGUUGCAGUUAAAAAAGCUCGUAGUUGGAUUUCUGGUGGGAGGGAACCGUCCGAUCUCAGAUUGGUGCGUGUUCCUCUCCGGCCAUCCUUGAGUCUAACCUCCUUGGCAUUAAGUUGUCGAGGUGGGGAUACUCAUCGUUUACUGUGAAAAAAAUAGAGUGUUCAAAAGCAG
rnacentral:rRNA from 1 species